rnacentral:rRNA from 1 species
AUUGAACGCUGGCGGCAGGCCUAACACAUGCAAGUCGAACGGUAACAGGAAGCAUCUUGCUGCUUUGCUGACGGGAGGCGGGCGGGUGGGUAAUGUCUGGGAAAGGGCGUGAGGGAUGAGGUUAGGUACUGGAAACUGUUACUGAUACCGCAUAACGUCGCAAAGCCAAGGAUGUUGACACUCCGCGCUCUCGCCUUCGCAUGGGUCCAGAUAGGAUUAGCUAGUAGGUGGGGUAACGGCUCACCUAGGCGACGAUCCCUACCUGGUCUGAGAGGAUGACCAGGCACACUGGAACUGAGACACGGUCCAGACUCCUACGGGAGGCAGCAGUGGGGAAUAUUGCACAAUGGGCGAAAGCCUGAUGCAGCCAUGCCGCGUGUAUGAAGAAGGCCUUCGGGUUGUAAAGUACUUUAAGCGGGGAGGAAGGGAGUAAAGUUAAUACCUUUGCUCAUUGACGUUACCCGCAGAAGAAGCACCGGCUAACUCCGUG